AGAGUUUGAUCAUGGCUCAGAUUGAACGCUGGCGGAAUGCUUUACACAUGCAAGUCGAACGAUGAACCCUAGCUUGCUAGGGGGAUUAGUGGCGAACGGGUGAGUAAUAUAUCGGAACGUGCCUUGUAAUGGGGGAUAACUAGUCGAAAGAUUAGCUAAUACCGCAUACGCCCUGAGGGGGAAAGUAGGGGAUCUUCGGACCUUACGUUAUAAGAGCGGCCGAUAUCUGAUUAGCUAGUUGGUGGGGUAAUGGCCUACCAAGGCUUCGAUCAGUAGCUGGUCUGAGAGGACGACCAGCCACACUGGAACUGAGACACGGUCCAGACUCCUACGGGAGGCAGCAGUGGGGAAUUUUGGACAAUGGGCGCAAGCCUGAUCCAGCCAUUCCGCGUGAGUGAAGAAGGCCUUCGGGUUGUAAAGCUCUUUCGCAAGGGAAGAAAACUUACCUUCUAAUAAAGGGUGAGGCUGACGGUACCUUGAUAAGAAGCACCGGCUAACUACGUGCCAGCAGCCGCGGUAAUACGUAGGGUGCGAGCGUUAAUCGGAAUUACUGGGCGUAAAGCGUGCGCAGGCGGUUUGGCAAGUCAGAUGUGAAAUCCCCGAGCUCAACUUGGGAACUGCGUUUGAAACUGCCAGACUAGAAUAUGUCAGAGGGGGGUAGAAUUCCACGUGUAGCAGUGAAAUGCGUAGAGAUGUGGAG
rnacentral:rRNA from 1 species